rnacentral:rRNA from 1 species
UACGAAGGGGGCUAGCGUUGCUCGGAAUCACUGGGCGUAAAGGGUGCGUAGGCGGCUUGUUAAGUCAGGGGUGAAAUCCUGGAGCUCAACUCCAGAACUGCCUUUGAUACUGGCGAGCUUGAGUCCGGGAGAGGUGAGUGGAACUGCGAGUGUAGAGGUGAAAUUCGUGGAUAUUCGCAAGAACACCAGUGGCGAAGGCGGCUCACUGGCCCGGUACUGACGCUGAGGUGCGAAAGCGUGGGGAGCAAACAGG